rnacentral:rRNA from 1 species
GACGAACGCUGGCGGCGUGCUUAACACAUGCAAGUCGAACGGAAAGGCCCUGCUUGCCGGGUACUCGAGUGGCGAACGGGUGAGUAACACGUGGGUGAUCUGCCCUGCACUUCGGGAUAAGCCUGGGAAACUGUGUCUAAUACCGGAUAGGAGCCAUCUUUAGUGUUAUGGUUGGAAAGUUUUUUUGGUGUGGGAUGAGCUCGCGGCCUAUCAGCUUGUUGGUGGGGUAAUGGCCUACCAAGGCGGCGACGGGUAGCCGGCCUGGGAGGGUGGACGGCCACAUUGGGGAUGAGAUACGGCCCAGACUCCUACGGGAGGCAGCAGUGGGGAAUAUUGCACAAUGGGCGCAAGCCUGAUGCAGCGACGCCGCGUGGGGGAUGACGGCCUUCGGGUUGGAAACUCCUUUCGCUAGGGACGAAGCUUUUUGUGACGGUACCUAGAAAAGAAGCACCGGCUAACUACGUG